rnacentral:tRNA from 1 species
GAAAUAUUAUUCAUUGUGAGCUUCUAAUUCAUUAAUGAAAUAAUAAAAUUAUUAUAUUUCU